GACGAUCGCUGGCGGCGUGCUUAACACAUGCAAGUCGAACGCUGAAGCUUGGUGCUUGCACUGGGUGGAUGAGUGGCGAACGGGUGAGUAAUACGUGAGUAACCUGCCCUUGACUCUGGGAUAAGCCUGGGAAACUGGGUCUAAUACUGGAUACGACAUGUCACCGCAUGGUGGUGUGUGGAAAGGGUUUUACUGGUUUUGGAUGGGCUCACGGCCUAUCAGCUUGUUGGUGGGGUAAUGGCUCACCAAGGCGACGACGGGUAGCCGGCCUGAGAGGGUGACCGGCCACACUGGGACUGAGACACGGCCCAGACUCCUACGGGAGGCAGCAGUGGGGAAUAUUGCACAAUGGGCGGAAGCCUGAUGCAGCGACGCCGCGUGAGGGAUGACGGCCUUCGGGUUGUAAACCUCUUUCAGCACGGAAGAAGCGAAAGUGACGGUACGUGCAGAAGAAGCGCCGGCUAACUACGUG
rnacentral:rRNA from 1 species